rnacentral:rRNA from 1 species
UACGGAGGGGGCUAGCGUUGUUCGGAAUACUGGGCGUAAAGCACACGUAGGCGGCUUUGCAAGUUAGAGGUGAAAGCCCAGGGCUUAACCCUGGAAUUGCCUUUAAAACUGCAUCGCUAGAAUUGUGGAGAGGUAAGUGGAAUUCCGAGUGUAGAGGUGAAAUUCGUAGAUAUUCGGAAGAACACCAGUGGCGAAGGCGACUUACUGGACACAUAUUGACGCUGAGGUGCGAAAGCGUGGGGAGCAAACAGG